GACGAACGCUGGCGGCGUGCUUAACACAUGCAAGUCGAACGAUGAACCCGGAGCUUGCUCCGGUGGAUUAGUGGCGAACGGGUGAGUAACACGUGAGUAACCUGCCCUUGACUCUGGGAUAACUGCGGGAAACUGUAGCUAAUACCGGAUACGACCCUCGGCGGCAUCGCCAGGGGGUGGAAAGAAUUUCGGUCAAGGAUGGACUCGCGGCCUAUCAGCUAGUUGGUGAGGUAACGGCUCACCAAGGCGACGACGGGUAGCCGGCCUGAGAGGGUGACCGGCCACACUGGAACUUGGACACGGCCCAGACUCCCACGGGAGGCAGCGGUGGGGAACCGUGCGCAAUGCGCGAAAGCGUGACGCAGCAACGCCGCGUGGGGGAAGAAGGCCUUCGGGUUGUAAACCCCUUUCAGGAGGGACGAAGGUCACACGGUGAAUAGCCGGCGUGACUGACGGUACCUCCAGAAGAAGCCCCGGCUAAC
rnacentral:rRNA from 1 species